AGAGGCGGGGGAGACGCGGGUACUGCGCAAGCGCAGAGAAGGCCGCUCCCGGUAGCCGUUACUUCAACCGUCUGCGACUCAGUCUCCUGAGGCAGCGGUGGGUUCUGAUACGGCCGGUGCAUCUUCACAAGUGCCGAGUUACCUUCACCAGCCACCUGCGCCCUGGCCAAUUCGUCCUUCUUGUGCUCGUUCGCUUAGCCGGCUUCUCGCUCAACCUGACAAGCAUUUCUGGGCAAGGUUCACAGCUAUUGCUUUUUUUUUUUUUUUUCCUUCUUUGAACUAAAACCGAAACAGACUCUGUUUUCUCGAGUGGUUUCUGUAGCGGCGCUGAGCCGGAACACCCCAGCCGCUUUCUCUCGGUGAGGGGGUGAGCUCGUAGUCAGCCCAUUUCUCACACACGGAAACUGAGGCCUGCGGAGAGGCGGCCCCAGACAGAGAUGAGGAAAGUCAGGAAGAUGCAAAUGAGGCCCAGAAAGUUUUGUGCUGAGAUUUGAAGGAGAAGGAAAAGAAGGCGAAAUGCUUACCCUUAGAGGAACAGCAGCAACAGAGCAAGUCUGAAGGAAGGGCAGGAGCCUGAAGUCCUGGUGGGCCUUGUGUUAGGUCCCCUAUGAGGAAUCAGAGAUCAAAUUGCCAACAUCCAUGAUCAUCAAAAAAGCAAGAGAGUUCAAGAAAAACAUCUACUUCUGCUUUACUGACUAUGCCAAAGCCUUUGUGUUGAUCACAACAAACUGUGGAAAAUUCUUAGAGUUGGGAAUACCAGACCACCUGACCUGCCUCCUGAGAAAUCUGUGUGCUGGUCAAGAAGCAACAGUUAGAACUGGACAUGGAACAACAGGCUGGUUCCAAAUCCGGAAAGGAGUACGUCAAGGCUGUAUACUGUCACCCGCUUAUUUAACUUAUAUGCAGAGUACAUCAUGAGAAACGCUGGGCUGGAAGAAGUGCAAGCUGGAAUCAAGAUUGCCGAGAGAAAUAUCAAUAACCUCAGAUAUGCAGAUGACACCACACUUACGGCAGAAAGCGAAGAAGAACUAAAGAGCCUUUUGAUGAAAGUGAAAGAAGAGAGUGAAAAAGUUGGCUUAAAACUCAACAUUCAGAAAACUAAGAUCAUGGCAUCCUGUCCCAUCACUUCAUGGCAAAUAGAUGGGGAAAUAGUAGAAACAGUGAAAGACUUUAUUUUUUGGGGCUCCAAAAUCACUGCAGAUAGUGGAACCAUGAAAUUAAAAGACACUUGCUCCUUGGAAGAAAAGACCAACCCAGACAGUAUAUUAAAAAGCAGAGACGUUACUUUGCCAACAACGAUUCGUCUAGUCAAAGCUAUGGUUGUUCCAGUAGUCACGUAUGGAUGUGAGAGUUGGACCAUAAAGAAAGCUAAGCACUGAAGAAUUGAUGCUUUUGAACUGUGGUGUUGGAGAAGACUCUUGAGAGUCCCUUGGACAGCAAGGAGAUCCAACCAGUCCAUCUUAAAGGAGAUCAGUCCUGGGUGUUCAUUGGAAGGACUGUUGCUGAAGCUGAAACUCUAAUACUUUGGCCACCUGAUGCAAAGAACUGACUCAUUUGAAAAGGCCCUGAUGCUGGGAAAGAUUGAGGGUAGGGGGAGAAGGGGACAACAGAGGAUGAGAUGGUUGGAUGGCAUCACUGACUCAAUGGACAUGAGUUUGGGUAAACUCCAGGAGUUGGUGAUGGACAGAGAGGCCUGGCGUUCUGCGGUUCAUGGGGUCACAAAGAGUCGGACGCGACUGAGCGACUGAACUGAACUGAACAAUUAAAUAUUUGUUUAAUAUUUGCCUCCCUUAUUAAACUAAAAGAUCCAAAAAGGCAGGACCAUGUCU